AUUGAACGCUGGCGGCAGGCCUAACACAUGCAAGUCGAGCGAGCGGCGGACGGGUGAGGAAUGUAUGGGGACUGCCCGAUAGAGGGGGAUAACUACUGGAAACGGUGGCUAAUACCGCAUACUAUCGGAUAACCCAUAUGGGAUUAGCUAGUAGUUAAGGUAAUGGCUUACCUAGGCGACGAUCCCUAGCUGGUCUGAGAGGUUGAUCAGCCACACUGGGAAUGAGACACGGCCCAGACUCCUACGGAGGCAGCAGUGGGGAAUAUUGCACAAUGGGCGAAAGCCGGAUGCAGCCAUGCCGCGUGUAUGAAGAAGGCCCUAGGGUUGUAAAGUACUUUCAGUCGGGAGGCGUUAUCGACAGAAGAAGCACCGGCUAACUCCGUGCCAGCAGCCGCGGUAAUAC
rnacentral:rRNA from 1 species